rnacentral:rRNA from 1 species
AUUGAACGCUGGCGGCAUGCUUUACACAUGCAAGUCGGACGGCAGCACAGAGAAGCUUGCUUCUUGGGUGGCGAGUGGCGAACGGGUGAGUAACGCAUCGGAACGUACCGAGUAAUGGGGGAUAACUGUCCGAAAGGACAGCUAAUACCGCAUACGCCCUGAGGGGGAAAGCGGGGGAUCUUAGGACCUCGCGUUAUUCGAGCGGCCGAUGUCUGAUUAGCUGGUUGGCGGGGUAAAGGCCCACCAAGGCGACGAUCAGUAGCGGGUCUGAGAGGAUGAUCCGCCACACUGGGACUGAGACACGGCCCAGACUCCUACGGGAGGCAGCAGUGGGGAAUUUUGGACAAUGGGCGCAAGCCUGAUCCAGCCAUGCCGCGUGUCUGAAGAAGGCCUUCGGGUUGUAAAGGACUUUUGUCAGGGAAGAAAAGGGGCAUGUUAAUACCGUGCUCUGAUGACGUACCUGAAGAAUAAGCACC